AUUGAACGCUGGCGGCAGGCCUAACACAUGCAAGUCGAGCGGAUGAAGGGAGCUUGCUCCUGGAUUCAGCGGCGGACGGGUGAGUAAUGCCUAGGAAUCUGCCUGGUAGUGGGGGAUAACGUCCGGAAACGGGCGCUAAUACCGCAUACGUCCUGAGGGAGAAAGUGGGGGAUCUUCGGACCUCACGCUAUCAGAUGAGCCUAGGUCGGAGUAGCUAGUUGGUGGGGUAAAGGCCUACCAAGGCGACGAUCCGUAACUGGUCUGAGAGGAUGAUCAGUCACACUGGAACUGGGACACGGUCCAGACUCCUACGGGAGGCAGCAGUGGGGAAUAUUGGACAAUGGGCGAAAGCCUGAUCCAGCCAUGCCGCGUGUGUGAAGAAGGUCUUCGGAUUGUAAAGCACUUUAAGUGGGGAGGAAGGGCAGUAAGUUAAUACCUUGCUGUUUUGACGUUACCAACAGAAUAAGCACCGGCUAACUUCGUG
rnacentral:rRNA from 1 species